AUUGAACGCUGGCGGCAUGUCUUACACAUGCAAGUCGAACGGUAACAGAUCUUCGGAUGCUGACGAGUGGCGAACGGGUGAGUAAUGCAUCGGAACGUGCCCAGUUGUGGGGGAUAACUGCUCGAAAGAGCAGCUAAUACCGCAUACGACCUGAGGGUGAAAGCGGGGGAUCGCAAGACCUCGCGCAAUUGGAGCGGCCGAUGUUAGCUUAGGUAGUUGGUGGGGUAAAGGCCUACCAAGCCGACGAUCUGUAGUUGGUCUGAGAGGACGACCAGCCACACUGGUGCUGAGACUCGGCCCAGACUCCUACGGUAGGCAGCAGUGCGGACUUGUGGACAAUGGGCGCAAGCCUGAUCCAGCAAUGCCGCGUGCAGGAAGAAGGCCUUCGGGUUGUAAACUGCUUUUGUCAGGGAAGAAAUCCUCUGGGUUAAUACCCCAGGGGGAUGACGGUACCUGAAGAAUAAGCACCGGCUAACUACGUGCCAGCCGCCGCCGUAA
rnacentral:rRNA from 1 species